rnacentral:tRNA from 1 species
GCCAGCAUGGUGUAGUGGUUUAAGCAUUGGAUGAUGACUCUGGAGACCAAGGUUCAAAUCCUAGUUCUGCCA